GAAUGCUGAAUGCUGCGGGUGUUGUUCGACGGACAGUUUCUGGCUAUCGAAAGCGUUGACGCUUUUAAGGGCUACUGUUCCGCUGUCCCGCCUCGUAUCCCAAUGUGGGAUCAGCAGCGGUACGAAUGCUGAAUGCUGCGGGUGUUGUUCGACGGACAGUUUCUGGCUAUCGAAAGCGUUGACGCUUUCAAGGGCUACUGUUCCGCUGUCCCGCCUCGUAUCCCAAUGUGGGAUCAGCAGCGGUACGAAUGCUGAAUGCUGCGGGUGUUGUUCGACGGACAGUUUCUGGCUAUCGAAAGCGUUGACGCUUUCAAGGGCUACUGUUCCGCUGUCCCGCCUCGUAUCCCAAUGUGGGAUCAGCAGCGGUACGAAUGCUGAAUGCUGCGGGUGUUGUUCGACGGACAGUUUCUGGCUAUCGAAAGCGUUGACGCUUUUAAGGGCUACUGUUCCGCUGUCCCGCCUCGUAUCCCAAUGUGGGAUCAGCAGCGGUACGAAUGCCGAAUGCUGCGGGUGUUGUUCGACGGACAGUUUCUGGCUAUCGAAAGCGUUGACGCUUUCAAGGGCUACUGUUCCGCUGUCCCGCCUCGUAUCCCAAUGUGGGAUCAGCAGCGGUACGAAUGCCGAAUGCUGCGGGUGUUGUUCGACGGACAGUUUCUGGCUAUCGAAAGCGUUGACGCUUUCAAGGGCUACUGUUCCGCUGUCCCGCCUCGUAUCCCAAUGUGGGAUCAGCAGCGGUACGAAUGCCGAAUGCUGCGGGUGUUGUUCGACGGACAGUUUCUGGCUAUCGAAAGCGUUGACGCUUUCAAGGGCUACUGUUCCGCUGUCCCGCCUCGUAUCCCAAUGUGGGAUCAGCAGCGGUACGAAUGCCGAAUGCUGCGGGUGUUGUUCGACGGACAGUUUCUGGCUAUCGAAAGCGUUGACGCUUUCAAGGGCUACUGUUCCGCUGUCCCGCCUCGUAUCCCAAUGUGGGAUCAGCAGCGGUACGAAUGCCGAAUGCUGCGGGUGUUGUUCGACGGACAGUUUCUGGCUAUCGAAAGCGUUGACGCUUUCAAGGGCUACUGUUCCGCUGUCCCGCCUCGUAUCCCAAUGUGGGAUCAGCAGCGGUACGAAUGCUGAAUGCUGCGGGUGUUGUUCGACGGACAGUUUCUGGCUAUCGAAAGCGUUGACGCUUUCAAGGGCUACUGUUCCGCUGUCCCGCCUCGUAUCCCAAUGUGGGAUCAGCAGCGGUACGAAUGCUGAAUGCUGCGGGUGUUGUUCGACGGACAGUUUCUGGCUAUCGAAAGCGUUGACGCUUUCAAGGGCUACUGUUCCGCUGUCCCGCCUCGUAUCCCAAUGUGGGAUCAGCAGCGGUACGAAUGCCGAAUGCUGCGGGUGUUGUUCGACGGACAGUUUCUGGCUAUCGAAAGCGUUGACGCUUUCAAGGGCUACUGUUCCGCUGUCCCGCCUCGUAUCCCAAUGUGGGAUCAGCAGCGGUACGAAUGCUGAAUGCUGCGGGUGUUGUUCGACGGACAGUUUCUGGCUAUCGAAAGCGUUGACGCUUUCAAGGGCUACUGUUCCGCUGUCCCGCCUCGUAUCCCAAUGUGGGAUCAGCAGCGGUACGAAUGCCGAAUGCUGCGGGUGUUGUUCGACGGACAGUUUCUGGCUAUCGAAAGCGUUGACGCUUUCAAGGGCUACUGUUCCGCUGUCCCGCCUCGUAUCCCAAUGUGGGAUCAGCAGCGGUACGAAUGCUGAAUGCUGCGGGUGUUGUUCGACGGACAGUUUCUGGCUAUCGAAAGCGUUGACGCUUUCAAGGGCUACUGUUCCGCUGUCCCGAUCAUAUCAGGUGAGGACUAUGAUCGAUACUGCGGGUUUGGAGCGCGUUUCCAGGGCCAAACAAGGGGCGUUCCGCACAAGCGGGACGAGUUGGACUUUUCUGGACGGUUGUCAAGGGCGUCGGCGUUGAGCGGUCGUACGAGUUUCUGCUUCGAGCUUGCAGAGGGAAAGCAGAAUCGACAUGCAUAUGUGACUGCGAUGAGCAGAUGCUUUUAGUGUUCAAAGCCGUUUGGCGAGUUGAUGACGAGUUCAAGAUCGUCGGUUGCAGCGUGCGCUGCUUCGUAGAGAGGAACAAGGACACGAAAACCUCGAACUCGUUGUGGCGUGUCUGAAACCAAUCGUGAAAGAAAUCGCCAAGCAUCGCUUCCAAUGAGUAAAUAAUAU